AGAGGUUUGAUCAUGGCUCAGAAUGAACGUUGGCGGCGUGGAUUAGGCAUGCAAGUCGUACGCAUAGCUUCGGCUAUGAGUGGCGCAAGGGUGAGUAAUGCGAAGGUAACCAACCCUGGUGUUGGGCAUAGCCGCGGGAAACUGCGGGUAAUUCCCAGCGACGUCACGAGAUGGCAUCAUCUUGUGACCAAAGGUGUGAUUCCGCUCUAGGACGGGCCUUCGUGGUAUUAGGUAGUUGGUGAGGUAACGGCUCACCAAGCCGACGAUGCCUACCGGGUGUGAGAGCAUGACCCGGCACACUGGAACUGAGACACUGUCCAGACACCUACGGGUGGCUGCAGUCGAGAAUCUUCGGCAAUGGGCGAAAGCCUGACCGAGCGACGCCGCGUGAGGGAUUGAAGGCCUUCGGGUUGUAAACCUCUUUCGUAGAGGAGGAAGGGGCCGUGAAGAACGGUCUUUGACCUAUUCUAGGAAGAAGCUUGGGCUAAGUUCGUG
rnacentral:rRNA from 1 species